rnacentral:tRNA from 1 species
AGGAUUGUGGCUCAGUGGUAGAGUGCUUGCCUUGCAUGCAUGAGGCCAUGGGUUCGAUCCUC